ensembl:Y_RNA Y_RNA Y RNA
GGCUGGUCGCAGUGCAGUGGUGUUUACAACUAAUUGAUCACAUCCAGUUACAGAUUUCUUUGUUCCUUCUCCACUCCCACUGCUUCACUUGACGAGCCUAAA